GAGCCAUGUGUUGCCAUAGGUUCCAUGUAUCCAUGGAUACUAAUGGCACUGUCCCUCCUUCCUUUCAUCCAGCCACACAGAUCCAGAGGAGGUACAAAAACAUCCCACCCACUGAAGAGAAAGGCUGUCCUCAGGUACUGGACAGGCACAAUCAGGCCACCUCAGAUCCUUCUCUUUUCCAGGCUGAACAAUCCCAGUUCUCUCAGCCUUUCCUCACAGCAGAGCUGCUCCACCCCUCUGAGCGUCUUGGUGGCUUCCUCCAGACUUGUUCCAACAAGUCCAGGUCCAUCAGCUCAGCUUCAUUGGCAUUUCUAAAGUCACCAGUAGGAAAAGGGUGAUUCUCCCCUCCUCCAGUGUGUGCAUGCAGGACCUGAGCCCCUUCAGCACAGAAGCAGAGUGGCUUGCAGACACAACCAGUGACCCAUUGACACCCACGCUGGGUUUGUGCCCUGCAGUUCUGCUGGUGCAGCUGGAGGUCACAUCCACAUUCAAGCAAGAAGGAAUCAUCUUCUCCCCACUACGAAAGAUUUUUUUUUUUCCUCUGUGAAGAACCACUCCUUUUAGACAGUCCAUCUGUGCCAAACCCAAUCCCUAAACCCACAAGAACACCAGAGGGAAGUCAAACGAUCCUAAAAUUUUAGGAGAGUUCAUGGAAGAAAUUGGUUGCCCCUCAGUAUCUUUUUUUAAUCAGGUUUGUUAAAGUCAGAAUAACCUUCAAAGUGCCCAUAUGGGCCUUAAAGCUACAAAAUAAAUGCUGCAAGUCACAAAAUGCUGACUACUCCCUUCUGCUCUGCCUAACAGCCAAAAUAACACUUCCCAGCCUUCAGCAUCCUUGGGAUCCCAUGCUUUAGCAGGACACAUCUAACAGUAAUCAAGAGCAACCCUAAUGUCUGGAUUGUCAACAUUUAAUAGGAAA